rnacentral:lncRNA from 1 species
UGAGCUGGAAAAAGGAGCGGAUGAGUGAAACUAGUCUGCUCCAAGAGUGUCUUCCCUUUGUGGGGGAGAGAUGCUUGCCUGAGCCCGUGGCCAGGGCAUCUGGCCUUUUAUCUGUGCUUUCUCUGUGAUGAGUCGGUCACUAGCAGAGGUGCUGUGUGGAUCCUGUCUCAGAGGUCUUAUUUCCUAGAGAAGUUCCUAUUCCAGAACAGUCCUUUACAACACAGAGAAUUAAGUGCUGAAGUCGGAAACAUUUUAGAUCAGCCUCAAAGGAUGCAGGAACUGUGGGGCCAGCUUCUAUGUAAAAGGCAUUUUUGAGUUUGUUUGGUGAGGCAUGACCCAAAAAGAGCAUGGGGACCGACCCCCAGCAGGCACUCCUGCCCGUGGAUCUCUGCUCAAGCUGUUCCCUCGGUCUGGAGGGCCCUUCCCUCCAUAUCUGCCUGUGGAAGACUAGCUGCCUUCAGGACCCAGCUUCCAAGAAGAUUUUCUGGGACCCUCCUCCAGUGGGAAUUAACCUUGUUCUCCGGCGCUGCACAUGGCUUGUGCCAUUCGCCACUGACAACUUUGCUUCGGGGCUCUUGUCGUCUUAGAGCCGUGUAGCUGCUUUCUUCAAUGUUUGGAUUGCCUAGACAGUGGUUGUCAGCGCUGACUGCACAUGAGACUCACGUGGGGAGCUCUAGACUCAUCUGGCCCCGUGGAAACCAGCAUCAGUGUUGUUUACAAGCUCCCCAGGUGAUGCUAAUGUGCAGCCUGGAGUGAGAGCCAUGGACUGAGACCUCUUCCGACUUCCUCCAUGGAAUUUUUCUUGCGGUCUGUUCUUGCAACCCACAGGCCCCCUUCCCUCACAACCCCAAAGGAAAGAUGAGUUUCCAUUAAGACAAGACCUUAGCUUUGACUUGACGUCUUAAGCAGAUGGUGGCAGACCUAAUUCACAGUGUCAGCGGGGUCCUGAAUUUCUAUUCCAGCCCUUACGGCCAACUGGCAGCCUGGACUGGAGUGAGUGACAGAUGUCUCCUGAGCAGGACAGACAGGCAAAGCCUGCCGGAGGGGAUGCUGGAGAAAAUGGUCAUGUGGAACCUUCCAGCUGGUCCGACUGGUCAUUGUGUCUGCUCCGAGAAAGUGUGAAAGCGUCACUUCCUGUGCCAGGACUUCCCUCUGAGAGCCAAGAGCUGGAGCGAUGUGCCAGGGACCAGCCUGGAUGAUGCGUGAAGUCUCUUGGGAGAGAUGGCUGGAAGGCAAGAUUCACAAGACAGAAAACAGAGAUGACCCUGAAGUUGAAAGGCUUGAACCUAGCUGGGUGAUGGAUUACCCCGAGACCGCCCUGAUUUUGUUCUCUAAUUACUGUGUUUAUUUGGUGCGUCAUAUUGGGCCUGAAACCCUUAAUACCAGCCGGUGCUGUUCAUUGUUACGAUGUCCUAAUUAAGCUUUGAUUUAUAUGCUAAUUUUAUUCCAAGUGUGUUCGAAAGGGGGAAAGUUAUUAGACUUUAUUUUGAGAUUACAUUUUAAUCCUGGGGUC